UGGGGAAUUUUGCACAAUGGGGGAAACCCUGAUGCAGCGACGCCGCGUGAUUUAGAAGGCCUUCGGGUUGUAAAAAUCUUUUGUAUAGGAAGAAAAUGACAGUACUAUACGAAUAAGGACCGGCUAAUUACGUGCCAGCAGCCGCGGUAAUACGUAAGGUCCGAGCGUUGUCCGGAAUCAUUGGGCGUAAAGGGUACGUAGGCGGGUAAGCAAGUUAGAAGUGAAAUCCUAUAGCUCAACUAUAGUAAGCUUUUAAAACUGCUCAUCUUGAGGUAUGGAAGGGAAAGUGGAAUUCCUAGUGUAGCGGUGAAAUGCGUAUAUAUAUGGAGGAACACCAGUGGCGAAGGCGACUCUCUGGUCUGUAACUGACGCUGAGGUUCGAAAGCGUGGGUAGCAAACAGG
rnacentral:rRNA from 1 species